CACGGCGCACGGGUGCGUAACACGUGGGCAAUCUGCCCUCCGAUGGGGAAUAACCCGCCGAAAGGCGGGCUAAUACCGCAUAACAUUCCUUGGACUUCGGUUCGAGGAUUCAAAACCGCAAGGUGUCGGAGGAGGAGCCCGCGCCCGAUUAGCUAGUUGGUGGGGUAACGGCCCACCAAGGCAAUGAUCGGUAGCUGGUCUGAGAGGAUGGCCAGCCACACUGGAACUGAGACACGGUCCAGACUCCUACGGGAGGCAGCAGUGGGGAAUCUUGCACAAUGGGCGAAAGCCUGAUGCAGCGACGCCGCGUGGGGGAUGAAGCAUCUCGGUGUGUAAACCCCUUUCGACCCGGAAGAAUGCCUCGCAAGAGGACGGACGGUACGGGUAUAAGAAGCCCCGGCUAACUACGUGCCAGCAGCCGCGGUAAGACGUAGGGGGCCAGCGUUGUUCGGAAUUACUGGGUGUAAAGGGUUCGUAGGCGGUGCGGCAAGUUGGGAGUGAAAUCUCUGGGCUUAACCCAGAGGCUGCUUCCAAAACUGCUGUGCUUGAGUGUGGGAGAGGCGCGUGGAAUUGCAGGUGUAGCGGUGAAAUGCGUAGAUAUCUGCAGGAACACCCGUGGCGAAAGCGGCGCGCUGGACCACUACUGACGCUGAGGAACGAAAGCUAGGGGAGCAAACAGGAUUAGAUACCCUGGUAGUCCUAGCCCUAAACGAUCAGGACUUGGGGUGCCACCCGUUCGGGUGUCGUCCCGGAGCUAACGCGUUAAGUCCUGCACCUGGGGAGUACGGUCGCAAGACUGAAACUCAAAGGAAUUGACGGGGGCCCGCACAAGCGGUGGAACAUGUGGUUCAAUUCGA
rnacentral:rRNA from 1 species